rnacentral:rRNA from 1 species
UACGAAGGGGGCUAGCGUUGCUCGGAAUUACUGGGCGUAAAGCGCACGUAGGCGGUCUUUUAAGUCGGGGGUGAAAGCCCGGAGCUCAACUCCGGAACUGCCAUUGAAACUGUGAGACUUGAGGAUGAGAGAGGUGAGUGGAAUUCCCAGUGUAGAGGUGAAAUUCGUAGAUAUUGGGAAGAACACCGGUGGCGAAGGCGGCUCACUGGCUCAUUUCUGACGCUCAGGCGCGACAGCGUGGGGAUCAAACAGG